rnacentral:tRNA from 3 species
CGCGGGGUGGAGCAGUCUGGUAGCUCGUCGGGCUCAUAACCCGGAGGUCGGCCGUUCAAAUCGGCCCCCCGCCACCA